GAUGAAGAACGUAGCGAAAUGCGAUAAGUAAUGUGAAUUGCAGAAUUCAGUGAAUCAUCGAAUCUUUGAACGCACAUUGCGCCCGCCAGUAUUCUGGCGGGCAUGCCUGUCUGAGCGUCAUUUCAACCCUCAUGCCCCUAGGGCGUGGUGUUGGGGAUCGGCCAAAGCCCGCGAGGGACGGCCGGCCCCUAAAUCCAGUGGCGGACCCGUCGUGGCCUCCUCUGCGAAGUAGUGAUAUUCCGCAUCGGAGAGCGACGAGCCCCUGCCGUUAAACCCCCAACUUUCCAAGGUUGACCUCAGAUCAGGUAGGAAUACCCGCUGAACUUAAGCAUAUCAAUAAGCGGAGGA
rnacentral:misc_RNA from 1 species